rnacentral:rRNA from 1 species
GACAGAGGGUGCAAACGUUGUUCGGAAUUACUGGGCGUAAAGCGCGUGUAGGCUGCUUCGCAAGUCGGGUGUGAAAGCCCUGGGCUCAACCUAGGAAGUGCACUCGAAACUGCGAAGCUUGAGUCCUGGAGAGGAAGGCGGAAUUCUCGGUGUAGAGGUGAAAUUCGUAGAUAUCGAGAGGAACACCGGUGGCGAAGGCGGCCUUCUGGACAGUGACUGACGCUGGAGACGCGAAAGCGUGGGGAGCAAACAGG